rnacentral:lncRNA from 1 species
GUAAACACUCACAUAUUCAAGGAACACACCAAUUUAAAAUGGUUCGGUCAAAUGACCUACAUCCACUUGCGAAGCCUUCUUCGAUGAGGCUCCCAACUUCCACUAGCAAAUCACUUUGAAGGGGAAGGACAAAUACCCCUCCUACAACCUUUUACAAGUGGUUCACACUCUUACAGAUUUUUCAAAGAGAAAGAGGGAGGUGAACACUUAAGCUAUUAAAAACAAGACUUGCUAAAGACUUUGCUAAGACUUUUUCUCAAUCUCUAACUUCUCAAAGGUUGUGUUCUCUGUUGAGAAUUGAGGGAUAUUUAUAGGCCCCAAGAGGAUUUAAAUUUGGGCUCCAAAUUUGAAUUGCUUUUGGGUUUCCCGGUACUAGCGGUGCCAUCGCCUGAGGUUUCCCGGUGCUGGCGGUGCCACCGCCUAUCAGUGUCUGACACUGAUAGUGUACUAGCGGUGCCACCGCCCAGUCCAGUAGUUUGCUGGCAGUGCCACUACCGGAACUCUCGUGUUCUGGGCGGUGCCACCGCCUAGACUAUUUCAGCUCACUGGUUGGGCUCCAAACUUGGCCCAAACCAGUCCGAACUUGGGCCCAAUUGGCCCCUAACCGGGCUAUAGGAUUAACCCUUAAUCCUAACCCUAAUUACAUGCAAACUAUGAAAUUAAGACAUAGUCAUAAGCAAGUUUUUAACCGGCAACGUCGAGUUUCCUUCCAGCGAGCUUUUCGGCGAACUUCCGGCGGACUUCCGAUACACCCUCGGAUUUCUUCCGCAGACUCCCAGCAGGCUCCCGGUCUUGUGGCGAGUUCAGCGAGUCUUUGGCAAGUAGCCGAACCUUCUUGGUGAUCUCCGCGAACCUCCGACGAUCUCUCCGGCGGACUUCCGAAAACUUCGGCAAGUCCCCGAUUUCUUCUCGGUGUUCUGGCAGCACUUCCGACGAAUCUUUGAACUCUCGGCGAACUCUCGAACACCCAUCGAACUUGACUCCGGUAGACUUGCUUUAUGUCUUCAAGCUAUCGUAGUUAAUAUUGUACAAGUAAAACUUCGAUCUAGACAAUUACUCCUAAGCAAUUAAUCAGGUUGUCCGGCAUGUCAUUGGUCCCUCGACGCUUCGUCCGAUUCUUCGGCGCAUCGUCCUCUCUUGCGGCCUAUUGCCCAAUCGGCUAGUUGACUCCGCAAUUUCGAUAUCCUUGACGCAAUACCCGCUCUUCUUGGCCCGAUGCCCGAAUCCACGGCCCGAAGCCUUCCGUUGAUACGUCGACCGAUCCACCGGCCCGACGUCCAAUCUUCUGACAUGUUCCUCUGACCCAACAUGAUUUUCCUGCUUUACUUGUCUCAUCCUAAUCGAAGCAUCUUGCGUCACUCAAAAUGCAGAUUAAAUCAUAAACACAUAUCAAGUGGUUUCAUCAUCAAAAUACGAGAUUCAACAAUCUCCCCCUUUUUGAUGAUGACAAUCACUUGAUGACGGAGUUAACCUUAACUCCCGGAGUUUAAACAAACUCCCCCUAUCAAUAUGCCAUAUUGAUAGAACCUUGAAUUCAAACUGAAUUCAAGUUAUUGCAAUAUUCAUCGUGAAUAUUUGCAACACAUCAUCAUGUGUAACAUGAUAAUACUUCUUCCCCUUUGUCAUCAACAAAAAGGAGAAGUGUCACAUUAAGUGUUUGUAAUAUAAGUUCUAAUCAUUUGCAUGAUAAACAUAAUCUCCAUUUUUAUCAUCAUGCAAUCUAGCAAUUAAAGAUGUGUAAGUUUAGCAACCGAUUGCUUCUUUUUAGGCUACAAGCUAGCAAUUUUUACGAUAUAUAAGUUUUGCUACAUACAAGCUAGCAAAAAUUUCGAAAGCAAAUGCAAGAUAGCUUUCUUGUGUAAGCUCAAGAUUCUUGUUUCUUAUUGCAAUGUGCAAGUCGCAAGUUUUGCUUAUUGAGAUAGGCAAGAUAGCACUUUUGUAUUUUUUGUUUCUUACGAUAGGUAAGCUUGUGAUGUUCAAGAUAGCAAGCUCUUUCUUCUCUUUUGAGAAGUGUCAUUUUUGCUUCCUUAGCAAAAUGUCAAAUUAGCAAGAGACAAUGUUUUACAUGAGGCAAGCAAACAAUUUGGCAAGUGUUACAUUUGCAUCUUCUCUUUAGAUGUACAAGAAAGUAAGCAAGUUUUUACAUUUUCUUGACUUGUGCAAGCUAGCUAAUUUCUCUUUGAGAUGACCCUUUACAUCAAUUCAAGAUAACACAUUAGCAACUCUUUCUCCCCCUUUGUCAUUGACAAAAAGAAAGGAAGACCCUUUACAUUAAUUUUUAAAUCAUAACAAAGGUAAGUAUUAAUCUUAUUUGUGCAUCAUUAUGUUUUUAAAUUAAAAUAUGCACAAUUUCAAAACUUUACAUUUGUAUCCUUACUUAAUGCAUUAUACAAAUAAAUUAAUCAUUAUGGGCCUAUCAUACAUGAUACAUCAUUUUAGUAACAAAUCAUAGCAUUUAUCAAUAUUUUGAUCAUAAUACCAAGCAUUCAUCAUUUAAAGCAUUCAUGAUACACAUUAUAUGCAAAUAUCAUCACAAUAAAAAGCAAUUGCAUGCAUAUUUUCAAAUCAUAAAUGUUUCAAAUCAUGAUGGUAUUAAUUUGUCAGAUUGCAUUCUACCAUGCAUGAUCAAAACUUCUCCCCAUUUGAAUUUCAUGCAUAAUUUCAUUUCAUCACAUUAGGAAUAUCAAGAAGAAUUAAUUGGGUAAUGAGAUAAAUAUUUUAUGAAUACACGGAAUUGUAUAAAAAUCAUAUCAUAAGUGUUUCAUGCAUUCAUAUCAUCACANNNNNNNNNNNNNNNNNNNNUUUCAAUAAAACCCAUUAAAUUCAAAUCAUUUUCUUAAUCCAUGAGAUUCAUAAAAAUAAUACAAAUGGAUUCAUCAAAGUCAAUAAGAUAGAGAAAAAGAAUUUUCAAGAAAAAUACUUUUCUCUAUUUAGUUGUUUCAUACAAGUAUACUUUUGUCUUUUUUGUGAAAAAAAAAAAAUAUAUAUCAUCAAUCAUUUCGAGUCAAAAAAUAAAUUGUCAUAAAUGCCAUCAAGAUUCUAAUCAUUAUUUCAAUCUACAUAUCAUGAGAACAAUAAAUUUGCACUAUAGACAAUCUCAUGUUUUAUCAUUCAAGCUAGCAUAUAUUUUUGUAAUUAGCAAGCUAACAAUUUCCUUUUUCUUUUAUAACAGUGAUUCAAUCAUAUCAUGCGAUAAACAUAUCAUAAUUACAAAGGAGUAUUGAAUCAUAAAGAAAAUCAAUUUAUGCAUAAAAUGUUCCAAGCAUCAAGGUACAUUUUCUCAAAUUGUGGAUAUAAAAAAAUCAAGAGAAAACAGCUUAAUUAUUUAUUUUGAAAAAUGUUCUCUUUGAUAAAACGAGAGAAUCAUGAUUAACAAUCUUGAUUUAUAAAAUGAAUACUCAAGUUAUAAUUCCGAAAAAUCAAGAGAAACCGUGAUUCAUUUUAACAAAUCUCCUCUUAAAUAAAUAAUGUAAAGAAUUCUUAGGAAAUCAUAAAAGAGAUAGAAUUUAUUCAAUCUUGUAAGAGAACAAGACAUUAAUUCAUGUAUAUAGAAUCUUGACUUAAGCAUAAAAAAUCUCAAUUUAUAAAUUUCAAAAUAUCAAGAUAAAGCUCAUUUAAAUCAUCAAAUCAAGAUCAUUUUCAAGAGAUUCACAAAAGUGAUAUAAAAAGAUUCAUUAAUUUCCCUUUUUGAAAAAUUGAUAAAGUCGGAAAAAUAAUUUUUUUAAGAAGAAACAUUUUCACUUUUUAGUUGUUUUAAUUUAUGUGAUUUAUUUCAUACAUGCAUGUUCUUUUCUUUUAUGGCAAAUAAAAACAUGCAUCAAUAUUUAGGAUCGAAAAAAAAAAAACACAAAAAUCAUUAUGUAUAGCUUUUAAAAUCUCAUGUAUAAAAUCGUCAAUCAUGGUAUCAAAACAUUUAAUAUUUUCAUUACAUCAUUAUGCAUUAAUUUCAUUGAACAUAAUUUUGAAUGAUUCUUAUAGAUAACUAAAACUUCUUUAAUUUUAAUUUAUGUGAUUGACUUUAUAUUAGCAUGUUCAAAUUUUGUUCUUAUGUCAAAACCAUACAUCAUGUUUGAAAACCAAAGACAAGGUUCAUAAAAAAUCAUCAAGCCUUCCAUACAAAAGCCAUGCAUCGUCAUUGAAAAUCAAUAUGGAAAUCAUCAAAAUACACAUUCUUGCUUCUCAAGCACAUACAUAAGAUUAAUCUUACUAGGUGUACAAGCAUUAGAUUUAUAUCUAACAUUUUAUUGUAUUAACAUAAAAUAUAUAAUUUUCAUUGUCAUUUUCAAAAUUAUGAGCAUGAUCAUAUUUUUGUAUUUUCAUUUUUAAACAUUUAAUUUUCAAGAAAAUUGAUUCAAAACUAAAUUACAAAAAAAAGUGCAUUAUGAAAAGCAUUAUGUAAUUUCGAAGUAAAUUAGGGGAAUUUCGAUUACCUCAUCAUUGAAAGCGGUUAAGAUAUAGUUUGCCACAUUGCCUUUCUUGAUUUUCUCUUCGCUUUCGGAGGAGCUCAAUUCAUCCCAAUUUUUGUUUUUCUUCUUACAUUUAAAGCAAGUAGUUCCGUUCUUUUUGCUUUUUAAUUUUUGUUUCAUUUGUAAUUUAAGUUCACCAUCACUUGAGCUUAUGCUCGAGUGGUCUUCAUGUGUUCUAUGUCCCAAAUCCUUCCUGUCCUUUGGAAGGUUGUUCUCGAGUUUCCUUUUUGUCACAUUGUUCAUUUCGUAUGUCAUUAAAGACCCAAUUAGUUCUUCGAGUGGAAAUGUUUUAAGAUCCUUGGCCUCUUGAAUGACCGUAACUUUUGAAUCCCAACUCAUUGGAAGGGAUCUUAAAAUUUUAGUUAUUAGUUCAAAAUUAGAAAAAUCUUUACCAAGAGCUUUGAGUCCAUUGAUGACAUCCGUGAAACGAGUGUACAUGUCUCCGAUGGACUCACUUGGUUUCAUUUGGAAAACUUCGUAAGAUGCACAAGAAUGUUGAUUUUAGACUCUUUCACUCGGCUAGUGCCUUCAUGAGUGACCUCAAGAGUUCUCCAAAUAUCAAAAGUUGAAUCACAAAUCGAAACGCGAUUAAAUUCAUUUUUGUCAAGUGCACAUUAUUAGGCAUUUAUAGCCUUUGUAUUUAGAGAAAAUAUCUUCUUCUCCAAAUCAUUCCAAUGGUUCAUUGGAAGAGAAGACAUUUCAAAUCCAUUUUCGACUAUGUCCCAUAAAUUCAAAUCUAAAGAAAGUAAGAAAACUCUCAUUCGAGUUUUUCCAAUAAAUGUAGUCCGUCCCAUUGAAAAAGAGAGGACGAAUGAGAGAGUGCCCCUCUUGAAGGCUGUAAAGAGCCAUUUCUCUUGGGUGUUAAACCAACUGAGAAAUAACGAGGCUCUGAUACCAAUUGUUUGAAAACGAUUUCGUAAAUGCGUAGAGAUUUCGAUUCGACAAAGAAUGACUUGGUAAAAGUAGCUCGAGUAAAGUAAGGAGAUGAAAACCAAAAGCUUGCUGCUAUAUAAAUAAAGGUUUCAGAAAGGUAAACACUCACACAUUCAAGGAACACACCAAUUUAAAGUGGUUCGGUCAAAUGACCUACAUCCACUUGCGAAGCCUUCUUCGAUGAGGCUCCCAACUUCCACUAGUAAAUCACUUUGAAGGAGAAGGACAAAUACCUCUCUUACAACCUUUUACAAGUGGUUCACACUCUUACAGAUUUUUCAAAGAGAAAGAGGGAGGUGAACACUUAAGCUAUUGAAAACAAGACUUGCUAAAGACUUUGCUAAGGCUUUUUCUCAAUCUCUAACUUCUCAAAGGUUGAUUUCUCUGUUGAGAAUUGAGGGGCAUUUAUAGGCCCCAAGAGGAUUCAAAUUUGGGCUCCAAAUUUGAAUUGCUUUUGGGUUUCCCGGUACUGGCGGUGCCAUCGCCUGUCAGUGUCUAACACUGACAGGUGUACUGGCGGUGCCACCACCAGACCUCUCGGGUUUUGGGCGGUGCCACCGCCCAGUCCAGCAGUUUGCUGGCGGUGCCAUCGUCGGAACUCUCGGGUUCUGGGCGGUGCCAUCGCCUAGA